rnacentral:rRNA from 1 species
UACGGAGGAUCCAAGCGUUAUCCGGAAUCAUUGGGUUUAAAGGGUCCGUAGGCGGUUUAAUAAGUCAGUGGUGAAAGCCCAUCGCUCAACGAUGGAACGGCCAUUGAUACUGUUAGACUUGAAUUAUUGGGAAGUAACUAGAAUAUGUAGUGUAGCGGUGAAAUGCUUAGAUAUUACAUGGAAUACCAAUUGCGAAGGCAGGUUACUAUCAAUAUAUUGACGCUGAUGGACGAAAGCGUGGGGAGCGAACAGG